rnacentral:rRNA from 1 species
CAACGUUUUCGAAAGGAACGCUAAUACCGCAUACGUCCUACGGGAGAAAGCAGGGGACCUUCGGGCCUUGCGCUAUCAGAUGAGCCUAGGUCGGAUUAGCUAGUUGGUGGGGUAAUGGCUCACCAAGGCGACGAUCCGUAACUGGUCUGAGAGGAUGAUCAGUCACACUGGAACUGAGACACGGUCCAGACUCCUACGGGAGGCAGCAGUGGGGAAUAUUGGACAAUGGGCGAAAGCCUGAUCCAGCCAUGCCGCGUGUGUGAAGAAGGUCUUCGGAUUGUAAAGCACUUUAAGUUGGGAGGAAGGGCAGUAAGCUAAUACCUUGCUGUUUUGACGUUACCGACAGAAUAAGCACCGGCUAACUCUGUGCCAGCAGCCGCGGUAAUACAGAGGGUGCAAGCGUUAAUCGGAAUUACUGGGCGUAAAGCGCGCCGUAGGUGGUUUUGUUAAGGUUGGAUGUGGAAAGCCCCCGGGCUCAACCUGGGGAACUGCAAAUCCAAAACUGGGCAAGGCCUAGAGUAACGGUAGUAGGGGUGGGUGGGAAUUUUUCCUGGGUGUAGCGGGUGAAAAUGCUGUAGAAUAAUAGUGAAGGGAAACACGCAGUUGUGCGUAAGGGCGGACCCACCCUUGGUACUUGGAUUACUUGAACAACCUGGAGGGCUGCCGCAUA